rnacentral:rRNA from 1 species
UGGGGAAUAUUGCACAAUGGGGGGAACCCUGAUGCAGCGAUGCCGCGUGGAGGAAGAAGGUUUUCGGAUUGUAAACUCCUUUUAACAGGGACGAUAAUGACGGUACCUGAAGAAAAAGCUCCGGCUAACUACGUGCCAGCAGCCGCGGUAAUACGUAGGGAGCGAGCGUUGUCCGGAAUUACUGGGUGUAAAGGGAGCGUAGGCGGGACGGUAAGUCAGGUGUGAAAUAUACGUGCUCAACAUGUAGACUGCACUUGAAACUGCUGUUCUUGAGUGAAGUAGAGGUAAGCGGAAUUCCUAGUGUAGCGGUGAAAUGCGUAGAUAUUAGGAGGAACAUCGGUGGCGAAGGCGGCUUACUGGGCUUUUACUGACGCUGAGGCUCGAAAGCGUGGGGAGCAAACAGGAUUAGAUACCCUGGUAGUCCACGCUGUAAACGAUGAUUACUAGGUGUGGGGGGACUGACCCCUUCCGUGCCGCAGUUAACACAAUAAGUAAUCCACCUGGGGAGUACGACCGCAAGGUUGAAACUCAAAGGAAUUGACGGGGGCCCGCACAAGCAGUGGAGUAUGUGGUUUAAUUCGAAGCAACGCGAAGAACCUUACCAGGUCUUGACAUCGUAUGCAUAGUCUAGAGAUAGAUGAAAUCCCUUCGGGGACAUAUAGACAGGUGGUGCAUGGUUGUCGUCAGCUCGUGUCGUGAGAUGUUGGGUUAAGUCCCGCAACGAGCGCAACCCUUACCUUUAGUUGCUACGCAAGAGCACUCUAGAGGGACUGCCGUUGACAAAACGGAGGAAGGUGGGGAUGACGUCAAAUCAUCAUGCCCCUUAUGACCUGGGCUACACACGUACUACAAUGGCAAUUAACAGAGGGAAGCAAAACAGCGAUGUGGAGCAAAUCCCGAAAAAUUGUCUCAGUUCAGAUUGCAGGCUGCAACUCGCCUGCAUGAAGUCGGAAUUGCUAGUAAUCGCAGAUCAGAAUGCUGCGGUGAAUACGUUCCC